rnacentral:rRNA from 1 species
GAUGAACGCUGGCGGCGUGCCUAAUACAUGCAAGUCGAGCGAAAGGACGACUAUCUUGCUGUUCUCGUGUUACCAACGGACGGGUAAGUAACACGUAGCUAACCUAUCUCUAUGACAGGACUAACUUCGACAAACCCGAGCAACUACCAGAUACUCCUUUGACACGCAGGGGUCAGGAGUGAAAGACGGUCUGGCUGUCACUUAUAGAUGGAUCCGCGCUGCGUUAGCUAGUUGGUAAGGUAACGGCUUAACAAGGCAACGAUGGAUAGCCGACGUGAGCGGGUGAAGGCGCACACUGGAGCUGAGCCACGGCACAGACUCUUAGGGGAGGCAGCGGUAGGGAAUCUUCCGCAAUGGGCGAAAGCCUGCCGGAGCAACGCCGCGUGAGUGAUGAAGGUCUGCGGAUCGUAAAACGCUGUUAUGAUGGAAGAACAUUUGUGUAAGUAACUGUGCAUAGCGUGACGGUACCUAAUCAGAAAGCCACGGCUAACUACGUG